UGAGAGUGUGUUUGAAUGAGUGUGUGUGCUGACAGCAGCCGGCAGAGCUAACAUUCAUCUGUUUCACUGGUUUGGAAUAAAUGAAAAGCUUCAAAUUCCGGAUAUUUACAUGAACCAGUAACGUUUGCUGUCCUCUGUCCCAGCGAUGCCCUGUGUACAAACCCAGUAUGCAUCCCUGCCCCAUGACACCUUCUUCAACUCUGAGUUCGUGAAUACUGACUUCAGUGCCAAACUGGUGAUGGACAUCAGUGGCCAAAAAGACCAGCUGUCUACGUCUUCGUUGCCCAGCAUCAAUACCUUGGUGGGGAAUGGCUAUGUGGGGGAGUUUGAUGCUUAUUCCUGCAAGAUUACCACCUCUCCUCCCACCUCCACAGUCUCAUUCAACCACGCCACAAUAGCUGAAAGCUCCGGCCCCCAGAUGCAGAACCAGACCUUCAAGCUGGACGAUCUCCAGGUGUAUGGUUGUUACCCAGGCUCCUUUGCUCUCAGCUGCCUCGAUGAAACACUGUCGUCAUGUGGCUCAGACUACUAUGGCAGCCCAGUUUAUGCUGCUGCUUCUCCUCCAACACCAGGCUUUCAGACCCAGUCUGCUCCUGUCUGGGAUUCCCCUUUCAGCCCCUAUCCCUCAGCUCCCCCCUCCUCUGUGGCUGAUAAGGCUGCCAUGGCUCAGCAGCUCUCCUUUUUUACCUUCAGCCCUGCACCGGAGCAGCACUCCCCACUGGGGCAUCAUCAGGAUGCUCAGUCAGGCCAGGAGGACCCUUUCUUUUUGUCUCACCAGCAGCAUGUUUCUCCACUUCAUUGUCCCCCCAUGUCACUGGAGCAAGGACCUCUGGAAAGCCCCAGGGUAGUGGAGGCGGCCAUGAUGUCUCCUAAAAGCCACAACCCAGGAUCUAGUGAGGGCCGCUGUGCAGUUUGUGGCGACAAUGCAUCCUGUCAGCACUAUGGAGUCCGCACCUGUGAGGGCUGCAAAGGUUUCUUCAAGCGAACUGUACAGAAAAAUGCAAAGUAUGUGUGCCUUGCCAAUAAAGACUGUCCAGUGGACAAGAGGAGGAGAAACCGCUGCCAGUUCUGCCGUUUCCAGAAAUGUCUUGCUGUGGGAAUGGUCAAAGAAGUUGUUCGCAAAGAUAACCUCAAGGGUCGCCGGGGUCGUCUGCCAUCUAAACCCAAGACUGUGGCCGAGGCUUCGUCCACGACCCCCAGUGAAAACAUCAUAUCCACUCUUGUCAGGGCACACUUAGAAUCAAACCCAACCAUUGGAAAGCUGGAUUACUCCAAGUACCAGGAGACAGUGGACAACCUGAAAGAAAAGGAGGAUGCUGGCGACAUCCAGCAGUUUUAUGAUCUGCUCACCGGUGCCUUGGAUGUGAUCAGAAACUGGGCUGAAACCAUCCCAGGAUUCACUGAUUUCUGCACAGAGGACCAGGAACUGCUCCUUGAAUCUGCCUUUGUUGAGCUCUUCAUCCUCCGUCUUGCAUACAGAUCAAAUCCAGAGAAGAGUAAGUUAAUCUUCUGCAAUGGCGUGGUCCUCCACCGACUGCAGUGCGUUCGCAGUUUUGGUGACUGGAUCGACUCCAUCAUGGAUUUCUCCCAGAGCCUUCACCGCAUGAACUUAGACGUCUCCUUGUUUGCCUGCCUUGCAGCUCUUGUCAUCAUCACAGAUCGCCAUGGCCUCAAAGAGCCCAGACGGGUCGAGGACUUUCAGAAUCGUCUCAUCACUUCUUUAAGGGAACACGUCAGCGGAAACGGAUCCGAACCGAGCAGGACCCAGCCCAACUAUCUCUCUCGUCUUCUGGGUAAGCUCCCUGAACUGAGGACUCUGUGCACACAAGGCCUGCAGCGUAUCUUCUACCUGAAACUGGAGGACCUGGUCCCUCCUCCACCAAUUGUGGAGAAAAUCUUCCUGGAUACUCUGCCUUUCUGAAAAAGCACAUGAGCACAAAUGUGUUAUUUAUCAAAAUGAUAGACACACAGGAGGUGGAAAGCGCCUAAUGUGAGAUUUUAUCUCCUGGUGAACCUCCUUUUAUCACACUGACCUGAGUGCUGACAGAUGUCUGACAUUGUUCAAGAGACCAUUAUUUUUCUAACAUUAACUUUUAAAUUGAUGAUGGUGCCUGUUUGAGUGCUACAUAAAGAUUUAUUUCACGUCCAUGAAACAUGGACAGAACUGACAUGGUAUAAACAGUUCAGGACAGUUUAUAUAUAUAUUUUCGUGUGCAUGUGAAAAAUGACUUUAUUGCUGUGCUGGCUGUGUGAAUGUUGCUAUGCAGCUUAAAAGACAUGGGUAUUUGGAUAGAUGCAAUGCAGCGUCACAUACUCCGAAACACACUAAUUUCUUAAAAAGCAUGUUUUUGAAAUUGCUUUUUGAGCCUACCAAGAAACUGAGGAAGGAGAUUAUUUAGUAGAAAUAAAAACAGACAGAAUCACAUGUCCUGUUUGUUAAAAAGAACUGAGGAGUUCUACUUUUCAAAAGGGAAAAAUGUACUGAUUUCUUUGUGUCACAAAAGAUAGUUUUAGUCAUAAUCUUGCUCCUGUGGAAGGUCUCGGACCAAAGUUUACUCUUACUUUGAUACUACCAGUUGCAAACCUUAUUGCCUUAAACUAAACAAAAUGUUCAGUCAUAACUCUUGUGCUGCCAUUUUGCAAAACCUUGUAAAGGCUGAUGCUGGCAAAGCUACUGUCGAACCACAUGUCCCUGUAAUAACGUACUUCUUGGGCUUUUGAGAAAAAGAAUGAAUUUAUUGAAUGAAAAUGCAAAGUGCCUUUUACAAAGCCUCAGUCCCUGAACCACAUUAAGUGACACUAAGUGAAUUUUCAUUCCAAACAUCACAUACAGUGAGCCCCAUUUGUUAAAGACACGAAAAAAUAUGUCCCAUCAGAAUUAAUAUUGAACUAAUCACUGAUGAAUGUCCUUUCAGGUCUGUGCCAGCUUUUGAUAUGAAGUGCCUGAGUGUCAGUACAGUUUGACAAAGAGCAUACAAUACUUGAAUGCACACUUCACGCAGUUACACUGGAAGGGCAUCAAGUGAUGACAGGUGGUUUAGGAGCUACAAGAACGAAAUCCUGCUCACAUGUUCCUGAGGCAGUGAAAGCUGUAAACUUCAGUAGAACCACCAAGCUUGAGAUUAAAGUAUGUCAGAACACAUUUCAGAGUGUUAAAUCCACAAUUAGAGUAAACCAUUAUUUUAAUGCAUUGAAAAACCCUGCACUGCUAGAAAAUGCAAGAGCAGACACAGAUAUUUUAUGUAUGUCAUCAACUGGUUUCUUGUGUUUGGCUAUUUCAUGCAGAUACUUCACCCUUCAUAUGUUUUGAACCUCAACUCUGUGUGUUUGUAAAAGUUCCUCCUGCUGUCUUCCACAUUUUUCUGAAUCAUGCAGUUUUUUUUUAUAUGUUGGAUUUUUUUUUUAAAUUUUCAUCUCAAAACGAACUAAAGAAAUACAGUAUCUUAAGAAAUCACAGUGAAAUGUGAUGAGAAGAUGAGCAGCUACGAGCACUUCAAACAGUGUUCAAACAGUAUGAAGAAUAUUUCAUUUCUCCUACUGUAUGAGUUUUGUUUGAGACGUGUGUUGACUUUGAAAAUACUGCCAGGGCUUUUGUAAAAUGGUGCAAAAGUAUUCAGAGACAGAGAAUAUUUGAUAAUAAAUGUUUUUUAAAAAUACGCCUCCGGCUGCCUUCAUUUAAAUGUCUGGAAAUGGAGUGAUAUAUUUCCUGUGAGUCAUGUGUCCUGUCUUGCAUCAUAGUCUCUACACUGUCUCUUCAGAUAUAUUGGUAGUUUCGUCUGGUUUCAGGUGUGAAAGAUGAAUGUUAAAUUUUUCCAUAUGUCUGAGUUUAAUUUCUUUGUGACAUAUUUUCAGUUUUCAUUCUAGCUUUGCCAUUAUUUUCAGUUUUAUUAAAUUAACAUGAAAUGAUAUGCAACGAAAUAUGAAUUCAUCUGUAAAUAUUUCAAACGUCAUAGGUUGUAUAUUUUGUAUAAUUCUAUCAUAGGAAGCAAUUACUUUGUCCCUUUAUACUUUAUGACUUCCCUAUCCUCUCGGUAGCACUCAUCCCCAAAACCUUACCUACAUUUUCCCACUGAAGAUGUAUAUCUAAAAACAAGUCAAGAAGAUUCUGUUCCUUUAUUAUUGUGCAAAAGGUCGUCUCUUUGAGUACUGUUUCUUUAAGACUGUUGUUAAUUAUCGCACAUGUGAAUUCCCACACUGCCGCGGUCCUUGAAUGCACCGCAGACGUGUCGGUAGAUCCGGAGAAAACAACUUAGUGACUCCGCAGUGUGCGUCUAAAAGCAUGUCUCAACAACUCUUGGAUGGAUUGCCAUGAAACAGACAUUCAUGUUCCUCUCAGGAUGAGCUGCCAUCACCAGGUCAAACCUUUUAUAUGUCCAAUGCUUCUGUUUAUGGCCAAAUGUGAAUUUCCCUUAGGGGGAUGAAUAAAGUAUCUAUCUACCUACCUAACAAAUCUGUAAAUAAUAUGAGUACGUUCACAUUUUGCACAAACUGUAAAUAAUAUGUGUACAUUCACCACAGCCAUAUCUUUAUAUAUGUUGCAAGAUUCAUAUGAACAUCUACCACAUGUAAAUUCUGAUCCCUUGUGCCCUCUAAUUUAUAUUAUAUUUAUAUUUUGACUGUACUUUCUUUCUUUCUUUCUUUCUUUCUUUUUUCGAGCACCACACAGAGCCUAAAACAAAAAUGCCUGUAAUCUAAUGACGUUCCCAUCAGCCAGAUAUGUACUUUCUGUUUUGUGCUAAUUAAUGUUAGAAUGCUAACAUGCUAAACUAAGACGAUUAACAUGACAAACAUUAUACCUGCAAAACACUAGCAUUAUCAUUGCGAGCAUGCUGAUGUUAGCAUUUAGCUCAAAGCACCACUGGGCUCAAAAACAGUCUGAUGUAAAAUAAGCUAUAACAGGGUUUGGCUACAUAGCCAAAACUUGUUAAUAAGAUCCAGUCAUUGUUGGUUUUCUUAGAAUAAAACUAUGGAAUAUCACCAGAUUUGUCCUGUAAGGAUAGUCUAGAAAUUGUCUUACCAGUCAGUCGAUACAGAGCAGGAAACAAAGCUUAUCUUUAUUUACACAGGACCUACUGUGCUGCUGCUUGUUACAUAUUAAUGAUGUGAUGAAAAGUGACCAAAAGUAGUCCUUCAUCUCCUUUUCACUGGGUCUGUGUUGUUUUGUCACACAUGGCGUUAACGUUGGCAACAUCUCUGACAAGGAGAAGAUGACACCGUCCCAACUCUCAGCCACAGUAGACUGCAGCACCGACUGCAUUCAGCGACUCGACACCCGAUCCUACUGUACACCACGUACCGGUCAUCUGGAUAUUGGUGUUGGCAGACAGAGUGGAAAAAAAGGGACAAGGGGAGAAAAGAGGAGCUUGCAUUGAGGUGUUCAUUAUGUUACAAAAUUGCAAGCAUGCUGCCCAAGUCAGAUGUAAUGGGAACAGCAGAGGAGUACAGUUGCAUAAGGAGGAUUUGGAUGAAUGCAGCAGCUCAGAGAGUUCCUUUGGUUGUACCUAGAGCUGUUUUUUUAUCGGGCCGCCGAACUGUCUACUGUGCUAAUCCUUUUUGACUUCCAGUGUGACUUUUCAUUCUAUAUGGUCACGUAUCCUUGACAGGUCAGACAUGUUUCCCAUUCAAAUCAGCCAAACCUAAACUCAUGAGACAUCCCCUGUAAAUAAACAGACAGGUACAUAACAAAUAUUACGUAGAUGACUCCACACGGAGCACAAAGGGUCACUGAAUGGUUUGUAUGCCAAUAAUAUGAAUCACAUGGCCUGAACAGUCACCAGGUCUAAACCUGCCUGAACACCUAUGGGAGACUUUGAACCACCAUGUUAGUCCAGCUCAGUAUCUUUGCAAUUAUGUCCAUAUUUGACAAUUCUGCACCUCACUGUUUAUGUCCAGUGCCAACGCUCUGUGCCAAUGCAGAGAGUAGUGUGCCCCUUAGGUAGUCUGGUGGAAAGUAAGGGUGUGGAAGUCAGAGUGGUGAAUGGGCAUUUACCAUGUCUGACUUCUACGCCAAAGACUGGAGUUCAUGUCCCAUCACAGAGCUCAUAUUCAUGUUUACCUUUUUUUUUUCCAUGACCAUGAUCCUUCCUUAACCUUAACCUUAAAAUAAAUUGGUGGCCUAACCGUAACCAUACCUUAAACAUACUUUAAGGUUAAUUUCAACAAUCCUUUCCUAAUCUUUACUGUGUAGAAUAUAUGCCAGAAAUUGUAGAAAGUGCACAUUUUAAAGACAUUGGGAUUGCAUGUAAACCAACAGCAUUAUCGCUGAAUAUGUAAUCCAGUAAUCCCUGUUUGCAGAAUUGUCAAAUAUUGAUGUUGCUGCCUGGCUAUAGGGUUGGUGAUACAGUGCCCUCCACCAUCAUCAUCCAAACACAUCUUUUAGAGGAAUGUUGUAUAUCAAGGAUCACCAAAAUGGCUCUAGAGGAGUGUGUGGCUAAAAACCUAAGACAUUGUGCUGUUUUUUUCUGUACUUGUCACCCUUCUGUAUCUCAUGUUUGAACUUGAACUCUUUUUCCAAAAGUGGAAAGUCACCAUCUGGAGCCGCCAUUGGCCCCUGAACUUUUGACCAGCACCCUGACAUGCAACACUCAGCAUUCAGGAACAAAGUGUAGCCUUACACCCUGAACGCUCGAGACAUUAUGUUCUGACCAGUAAUUUGUGGUUCACUUGUCAUCGUGAUUUGUUGCACGUUUUACACUUUGCUUCUGCACCUUCUCUUACUAUUCAGCAAAUUUUUGAGAACAUAGGAAAUGUUUAGUACAGCAAGAAUUUCUCUUGUAACUCAGUACACUUGAUCAAGAACUGUUUUUAUGUACAAUUUUGAGGUUCUUGGACUCUACUUGAGUAUUUUACGUUACUUAAAACUUGAAUUCAUAACCACCAAACCAAUGAUGUGUUCUCAAAGUAUGAUAUGUUUUCAUAAAUGAAAUUACCCAACAGUACAUAAAGUAGUUAAAAGCUUACAGCCAUGCUAGCAGGUCUUUGAGACUGUUCUUGAGAACAGCGGUGCAUUGAGCGAAAUGCAAAUGUCAGAAUGCUAACAUGCUGAUAUUUAGCAGGCACCAUAUUCACCAUCUUAGCUCCGUGUGUUAGCAAUAUACUUGGUUUGUUCACCAAAAUUUCAUGGUAAUUUUUCCAAUACUUGUUGUUGUUGGUAUUUCAGUCCAUACCAAAGUGGUGGACAGACCAACCACCUGUCAUUACCAUCUGUAGAGCUGCUGGCAAAGCUAAAAAUAAUCCAGUAAAAUAUUAUACUGUAUAGUAAUACACUUUUACAAGUAAGUACUUUUCCUUUUGAUAUAUUACAUGUAUUUUGCUGUUAAUACUACCCUAGUUUUAUUCAAGAAAAACUUUAUGCUCUAUUUAUAACUGCUAAUAUUUGAAUGUGCAAACAGGAAUAAAUGAACACAU